AGUAGGAAGGAGGAGGAAGAACAAGAACGUCAACAAAAUCGGGAGUUCGGGAGAUGGAAUUUGUCGUCGUCUGAAGAUGUUUUUGUUUAACCGCUGAGAUCAAUGAUGGAUCAGCCCAUCACUGAAAUACGUUUGAAGUUUGAAAGAAGGAUCGCAGAUUAUGAGGCUGAAAUCUUACGUCUAAAGGAGGAAAAUUCUCGUCAGAAGAAACUACUGGACGCCAUUUAUAAGCCUGAAGUACGGAUAUACAAAUCAGAAGACACGUUAUAAGACUACCUUUGCUCUACUACACAUGGACUUCAAGCAUCCAUCUAAGCAAUGCAAGGUCAUGGGGAAAGAUUAAAAACCUCCAGCUGUUCUUUGUUUCUGAAGAUAAGAUUCCCUCUGUGAAGCAGGAGUGGAGCCCCAGUCUGGACCAGGGGGAGCCAGAGCCCCCACACAUUAAAGAGGAAGAGGAGGAACUCUGGAGCAGUCAGGAGAAAGAGCAGCUUGAAGGACUGGAGGAGAAGGUUGACAUUACCGAGCUGUCAUUUCCU